rnacentral:rRNA from 1 species
GUUUCCCGUAAGGCGCCGAACGAGUCAAGAAAAGUUAACAUCGUCCGAUCCCUAGUCGGCAUAGUUUAUGGUUAAGACUACGACGGUAUCUGAUCGUCUUCGAUCCCCUAACUUUCGUUCUUGAUUAAUGAAAACAUCCUUGGCAAAUGCUUUCGCAGUAGUCAGUCUUCAAUAAAUCCAAGAAUUUCACCUCUGACAAUUGAAUACUAAUGCCCCCAACUAUCCCUAUUAAUCAUUACGUCGAUCCUAGAAACCAACAAAAUAAGAUCAAACGUCCUAUUUCAUUAUUCCAUGCUAAUGCAUUCAAGCGUUUGCCUGCUUUAAACACUCUAAUUUUUUCAAAGUAACAGUCCUGAUUCCCCGCAACACCAAAUUAAUGGCAUUACGGUUCUUCAAGAGGGAGGGACCACCGAGGCAAGUACAUACCAGUGGCACGACCAACCUGAUGAUCCCGAAAUUCAACUACGAGCUUUUUAACUGCAACAACUUUAAUAUACGCUAUUGGAGCUGGAAUUACCGCGGCUGCUGGCACCAGACUUGCCCUCCAAA